GGAGCUAUAGCUCACUGGUAGAGCAUCUGCUUUCCAUUCAGAAGGUCUCAAGUUCAACCCCUGAUAUCUCCA